rnacentral:rRNA from 1 species
UUGAACGCUGGCGGCAGGCCUAACACAUGCAAGUCGAGCGGUAGCACAGAGAGCUUGCUCUCGGGUGACGAGCGGCGGACGGGUGAGUAAUGUCUGGGAAACUGCCUGAUGGAGGGGGAUAACUACUGGAAACGGUAGCUAAUACCGCAUAAUGUCGCAAGACCAAAGUGGGGGACCUUCGGGCCUCAUGCCAUCAGAUGUGCCCAGAUGGGAUUAGCUAGUAGGUGGGGUAACGGCUCACCUAGGCGACGAUCCCUAGCUGGUCUGAGAGGAUGACCAGCCACACUGGAACUGAGACACGGUCCAGACUCCUACGGGGGGCAGCAGUGGGGAAUAUUGCACAAUGGGCGCAAGCCUGAUGCAGCCAUGCCGCGUGUGUGAAGAAGGCCUUCGGGUUGUAAAGCACUUUCAGCGGGGAGGAAGGCGUUAAGGUUAAUAACCUUGGCGAUUGACGUUACCCGCAGAAGAAGCACCGGCUAACUCCGUGCCAGCAGCCGCGGUAAUACGGAGGGUGCAAGCGUUAAUCGGAAUUACUGGGCGUAAAGCGCACGCAGGCGGUCUGUCAAGUCGGAUGUGAAAUCCCCGGGCUCAACCUGGGAACUGCAUUCGAAACUGGCAGGCUAGAGUCUUGUAGAGGGGGGUAGAAUUCCAGGUGUAGCGGUGAAAUGCGUAGAGAUCUGGAGGAAUACCGGUGGCGAAGGCGGCCCCCUGGACAAAGACUGACGCUCAGGUGCGAAAGCGUGGGGAGCAAACAGGAUUAGAUACCCUGGUAGUCCACGCCGUAAACGAUGUCGAUUUGGAGGUUGUGCCCUUGAGGCGUGGCUUCCGGAGCUAACGCGUUAAAUCGACCGCCUGGGGAGUACGGCCGCAAGGUUAAAACUCAAAUGAAUUGACGGGGGCCCGCACAAGCGGUGGAGCAUGUGGUUUAAUUCGAUGCAACGCGAAGAACCUUACCUGGUCUUGACAUCCACAGAACUUUCCAGAGAUGGAUUGGUGCCUUCGGGAACUGUGAGACAGGUGCUGCAUGGCUGUCGUCAGCUCGUGUUGUGAAAUGUUGGGUUAAGUCCCGCAACGAGCGCAACCCUUAUCCUUUGUUGCCAGCGGUCCGGCCGGGAACUCAAAGGAGACUGCCAGUGAUAAACUGGAGGAAGGUGGGGAUGACGUCAAGUCAUCAUGGCCCUUACGACCAGGGCUACACACGUGCUACAAUGGCAUAUACAAAGAGAAGCGACCUCGCGAGAGCAAGCGGACCUCAUAAAGUAUGUCGUAGUCCGGAUUGGAGUCUGCAACUCGACUCCAUGAAGUCGGAAUCGCUAGUAAUCGUAGAUCAGAAUGCUACGGUGAAUACGUUCCCGGGCCUUGUACACACCGCCCGUCACACCAUGGGAGUGGGUUGCAAAAGAAGUAGGUAGCUUAACCUUCGGGAGGGCGCUUACCACUUUGUGAUUCAUGACUGGGGUG